AUUAGUGGCGAACGGGUGAGUAACACGUGAGUAACCUGCCCUCCACUUUGGGAUAACUCCGAGAAAUCGGGGCUAAUACUGGAUAUGACUAUGGCCCGCAUGGGUUGUGGUGGAAAGUUUUUCGGUGGGGGAUGGGCUCGCGGCCUAUCAGUUUGUUGGUGAGGUAGUGGCUCACCAAGGCGAUGACGGGUAGCCGGCCUGAGAGGGCGACCGGCCACACUGGGACUGAGACACGGCCCAGACUCCUACGGGAGGCAGCAGUGGGGAAUAUUGCACAAUGGGCGAAAGCCUGAUGCAGCGACGCCGCGUGGGGGAUGACGGCCUUCGGGUUGUAAACCUCUUUCAGCAAGGAAGAAGCGAAAGUGACGGUACUUGCAGAAGAAGCGCCGGCUAACUACGUGCCAGCAGCCGCGGUAAUACGUAGGGCGCAAGCGUUGUCCGGAAUUAUUGGGCGUAAAGGGCUUGUAGGUGGCUUGUCGCGUCUGCCGUGAAAACCCAGGGCUUAACUCUGGGCGUGCGGUGGGUACGGGCAGGCUAGAGUGCGGUAGGGGAGACUGGAAUUCCUGGUGUAGCGGUGAAAUGCGCAGAUAUCAGGAGGAACACCGAUGGCGAAGGCAGGUCUCUGGGCCGUUACUGACACUGAGAAGCGAAAGCAUGGGGAGCGAACAGGAUUAGAUACCCUGGUAGUCCAUGCCGUANACGUUGGGCACUAGGUGUGGGGAGCAUUCCACGUUUUCCGCGCC
rnacentral:rRNA from 1 species